rnacentral:rRNA from 1 species
AAUAACAAUACAAGGCAGUUAAAAUGCUUUGUAAUUGGAAUGAUAGAAAUUUAAACACUUUUUAAAGUAUCAAUUGGAGGGCAAGUCUGGUGCCAGCAGCCGCGGUAAUUCCAGCUCCAAUAGCGUAUAUUAAAAUUGUUGCAGUUAAAAAGCUCGUAGUUGAAUUUCUGUUAAAAAUAACCGGUCUGCUUUUAAUAAAAGUGGUAUCUUGGUGUGUUUUUAGCAAUAAUGUCCUUUGAAAUGUUUUUUACUUUAUUGUAAUAAAUAAUAUUCAGGAUUUUUACUUUGAGAAAAUUAGAGUGUUUCUAGCAGGCUAACGCUUUGAAUACUGCAGCAUGGAAUAAUAAGAUAGGAUUUUAGUUCUACAUUAUUGGUUUUAAGAACUAAAUUAAUGAUUGAUAGGGACAGUUGGGGGCAUUUGUAUUUAACUGUCAGAGGUGAAAUUCUUAGAUUUGUUAAAGACAAACUACUGCGAAAGCAUUUGCCAAAGAUGUUUUCAAUAAUCAGGAAC